rnacentral:rRNA from 1 species
GGCGGCGUGCUUAACACAUGCAAGUCGAACGAUGAACCGGUUUCGGCCGGGGAUUAGUGGCGAACGGGUGAGUAACACGUGGGCAAUCUGCCCUGCACUCUGGGACAAGCCCUGGAAACGGGGUCUAAUACCGGAUAUGACGCGUUCCCGCAUGGAUACGUGUGGAAAGCUCCGGCGGUGCAGGAUGAGCCCGCGGCCUAUCAGCUUGUUGGUGGGGUGAUGGCCUACCAAGGCGACGACGGGUAGCCGGCCUGAGAGGGCGACCGGCCACACUGGGACUGAGACACGGCCCAGACUCCUACGGGAGGCAGCAGUGGGGAAUAUUGCACAAUGGGCGCAAGCCUGAUGCAGCGACGCCGCGUGAGGGAUGACGGCCUUCGGGUUGUAAACCUCUUUCAGCAGGGAAGAAGCGUGAGUGACGGUACCUGCAGAAGAAGCGCCGGCUAACUACGUGCCAGCAGCCGCGGUAAUACGUAGGGCGCAAGCGUUGUCCGGAAUUAUUGGGCGUAAAGAGCUCGUAGGCGGCUUGUCGCGUCGGAUGUGAAAGCCCGGGGCUUAACUCCGGGUCUGCAUUCGAUACGGGCAGGCUAGAGUUCGGUAGGGGAGAUCGGAAUUCCUGGUGUAGCGGUGAAAUGCGCAGAUAUCAGGAGGAACACCGGUGGCGAAGGCGGAUCUCUGGGCCGAUACUGACGCUGAGGAGCGAAAGCGUGGGGAGCGAACAGGAUUAGAUACCCUGGUAGUCCACGCCGUAAACGUUGGGAACUAGGUGUGGGCGACAUUCCACGUCGUCCGUGCCGCAGCUAACGCAUUAAGUUCCCCGCCUGGGGAGUACGGCCGC